rnacentral:rRNA from 1 species
UACGAAGGGGACUAGCGUUGUUCGGAAUACUGGGCGUAAAGCGCACGUAGGCGGCUAUUAAGUCGGGGUGAAAUCCUGGAGCUCAACUCCAGAACUGCCUUCGAAACUGAUAGUCUUGAGUUCGGGAGAGGUGAGUGGAACUGCGAGUGUAGAGGUGAAAUUCGUAGAUAUUCGCAAGAACACCAGUGGCGAAGGCGGCUCACUGGCCCGAUACUGACGCUGAGGUGCGAAAGCGUGGGGAGCAAACAGGG